GUGUUACCUGCUGGGGGCUUAGCUACUGCACCCACAGACAGGUCUGACAGGUAUUCAGCAGUGCACAGUGCUGACAGCUCGACUUUAUAGAGAUAUACAUCUCCUGCGGAACGGGAAGAAAUCAGAUGAAUAUCAUUGUGCUCUCCAUUAACCAUGUCACUGCCAAUGGCUGGGAACCCUCUUGAGAAAAAACAGCAAGACUUUGGGCUGAUAUUUGAAGAUCAUUACAGGAGCAGCUGACAGAACACCUUUCUCAACCAUGGAAGUCUCCUUCAGAAAGAAUCUUAAGGAACGUCCUUACCAAGUUUUAUCACAGUUUGAGUAGGGAUGGGAUAACCUGAAUCUUUCAUUUCCCAUUUUACAAAAAUAAUAACAGAUAAGUUAGAAAAACAGAUCUACCGCACCAACAUGUGGGGCCCUAUUCAUAAAACCUCUUUUAAGGACUUUUUUUUAAAUAUAUAAACACGGUCUUGGGUUGAAAAGUGCUUUAAAAGUUUUGAGAACAAAUAAGUUCAGAACAGAAAGUCGGAAGCACUUUUUUUUUUUUUUACAUUAUAAUUGCAUGAAACUGGUGUAAUUUUAGGGAGACCUGACCCCAGUGAAUGUAACGCACCCUGGUAUUCAAUUUAAACUAUGGCACCUGCAUU